AGCCGCGGUAACACCGGCGGCCCGAGUGGUGAUCGUGAUUAUUGGGUCUAAAGGGUCCGUAGCCGGUUGGUCAGUCCUCCGGGAAAUCUGAUAGCUCAACUAUUAGGCUUUCGGGGGAUACUGCCAGACUUGGAACCGGGAGAGGUAAGAGGUACUACAGGGGUAGGAGUGAAAUCUUGUAAUCCCUGUGGGACCACCUGUGGCGAAGGCGUCUUACCAGAAUGGGUUCGACGGUGAGGGACGAAAGCUGGGGGCACGAACCGGAUUAGAUACCCGGGUAGUCCCAGCCGUAAACGAUGCUCGCUAGGUGUCAGGCAUGGCGCGACCGUGCUGGUGCCGCAGGGAAGCCGUGAAGCGAGCCACCUGGGAAGUACGGCCGCAAGGCUGAAACUUAAAGGAAUUGGCGGGGGAGCACAACAACGGGUGGAGCCUGCGGUUUAAUUGGACUCAACGCCGGACAACUCACCGGGGGCGACAGCAAUAUGUAGGCCAAGCUGAAGACUUUGCCUGAAUCGCUGAGGGGAGGUGCAUGG
rnacentral:rRNA from 1 species